rnacentral:rRNA from 1 species
UCUCUAUGCGGUGUCAGCCGCCGCGGUAAUACAGAGGGUGCAAGCGUUGUCCGGAAUCACUGGGCGUAAAGGGCGCGUAGGCGGCUUGGUAAGUAGGGGGUGAAAUCUCACGGCUCAACCGUGAGGCUGCCUUCUAGACUGCCGAGCUUGAGCACAGUAGAGGCUGGUGGAAUUCCCGGUGUAGCGGUGGAAUGCGUAGAGAUCGGGAAGAACAUCUGUGGCGAAGGCGGCCAGCUGGGCUGUUGCUGACGCUGAUGCGCGACAGCGUAGGGAGCAAACAGGAUUAGAUACCCUGGUAGUCCACGCCGUAAACGAUGGGUACUAGGCGUCGGGGGGAGCGACCCUCUCGGUGCCGUCGCUAACGCAAUAAGUACCCCGCCUGGGGAGUACGGUCGCAAGACUGAAACUUAAAUGAAUU